UACGGGGGGAGCAAGCGUUGUUCGGAUUUACUGGGCGUAAAGGGCGCGUAGGCGGCCAGCACAAGUCAGUUGUGAAAUCUCCGAGCUUAACUCGGAAAGGUCAACUGAUACUGUGCGGCUAGAGUGCAGAAGGGGCAACUGGAAUUCUUGGUGUAGCGGUGAAAUGCGUAGAUAUCUGGAGGAACACCGGUGGCGAAGGCGGCAUCCUGGACCGACACUGACGCUGAGGCGCGAAAGCCAGGGGAGCAAACGGG
rnacentral:rRNA from 1 species